rnacentral:rRNA from 1 species
UACGAAGGGGGCUAGCGUUGCUCGGAAUUACUGGGCGUAAAGGGAGCGUAGGCGGACAUUUAAGUCAGAGGUGAAAUCCCGGAGCUCAACUUCGGAACUGCCUUUGAUACUGGGUGUCUUGAGUAUGAUAGAGGUAUGUGGAACUCCGAGUGUAGAGGUGAAAUUCGUAGAUAUUCGGAAGAACACCAGUGGCGAAGGCGGCUCACUGGACGACUGUUGACGGCUGAGGUGGCGAAA